ensembl:miRNA
UCAGUAACUGGAAUCUGUCCCUGCAGACACACUGUAGAGCAGGGCCGGCUGGUUACUGCGC